GAUGAACGCUAGCUACAGGCUUAACACAUGCAAGUCGAGGGGAAACGAUAGGGAAAGCUUGCUUUUUCUAGGCGUCGACCGGCGCACGGGUGAGUAACGCGUAUCCAACCUGCCCAUCACUUGGGGAUAACCUUGCGAAAGUAAGACUAAUACCCAAUGACGUCUCUAGAGGACAUCUGAAGGAGAUUAAAGAUUUAUCGGUGAUGGAUGGGGAUGCGUCUGAUUAGCUUGUUGGCGGGGUAACGGCCCACCAAGGCGACGAUCAGUAGGGGUUCUGAGAGGAAGGUCCCCCACAUUGGAACUGAGACACGGUCCAAACUCCUACGGGAGGCAGCAGUGAGGAAUAUUGGUCAAUGGACGAGAGUCUGAACCAGCCAAGUAGCGUGCAGGAAGACGGCCCUAUGGGUUGUAAACUGCUUUUAUAAGGGAAUAAAGUGAGUCUCGUGAGACUUUUUGCAUGUACCUUAUGAAUAAGGACCGGCUAAUUCCGUGCCAGCAGCCGCAGUAA
rnacentral:rRNA from 1 species